UACGAAGGGGGCUAGCGUUGUUCGGAAUUACUGGGCGUAAAGCGUAUGCAGGCGGAUCGUUAAGUCGGGGGUGAAAUCCCGAGGCUCAACCUCGGAACUGCCUUCGAUACUGGCGAUCUUGAGUCCGGGAGAGGUGAGUGGAACUCCGAGUGUAGAGGUGAAAUUCGUAGAUAUUCGGAAGAACACCAGUGGCGAAGGCGGCUCACUGGCCCGGUACUGACGCUGAGGAGCGAAAGCGUGGGUAGCAAACAGG
rnacentral:rRNA from 1 species